CCGUAGCCACGUCUGGUUGAGGGUCA
rnacentral:rRNA from 1 species